CUAAAGGCUCUUUUAAGAGCCACCACAUUGCACAAAAGAGUUGUG
rfam:Caprimulgus carolinensis contig66218, whole genome shotgun sequence.